rnacentral:rRNA from 1 species
AUACGUAGGGAGCAAACGUUGUCCGGAUUUAUUGGGCGUAAAGGGCUCGUAGGCGGUUCAACAAGUCGGUCGUGAAAGCCCGGGGCUCAACCCCGGGACGCCGGUCGAAACUGUUGUGACUAGAGUUCGGUAGAGGUGAGUGGAAUUCUCGGUGUAGCGGUGGAAUGCGCAGAUAUCGAGAGGAACACCAUUAGCGAAGGCGGCUCACUGGGCCGAUACUGACGCUGAGGAGCGAAAGCGUGGGAAGCAAACAGGAUUAGAAACCCCGGUAGUCC